GUGCCAGCCGCCGCGGUAAGACGUAGGGGACGAGCGUUGUCCGGAUUCAUUGGGCGUAAAGCGCGCGUAGGCGGUUUGGUAAGUCGGAUGUGAAAACCAGAGGCUCAACCUCUGGCCUGCAUCCGAUACUGCCCGACUAGAGGUAGGUAGGGGAGAUCGGAAUUCCUGGUGUAGCGGUGAAAUGCGCAGAUAUCAGGAGGAACACCGGUGGCGAAGGCGGAUCUCUGGGCCUUACCUGACGCUGAGGCGCGAAAGCUAGGGGAGCAAACAGGAUUAGAUACCCUGGUAGUCCUAGCCGUAAACGUUGGGUGCUAGGUGUGGGAGGACAUCGACCCCUUCCGUGCCGAAGCUAACGCAUUAAGCACCCCGCCUGGGGAGUACGGCCGCAAGGCUAAA
rnacentral:rRNA from 1 species